UCAUACUUGUCUUUUCAAUGUGGGAGCGA
rnacentral:piRNA from 1 species